rnacentral:lncRNA from 1 species
UAAGAACUCAGUUACAUAUUACAUAUAGUGUAUAAGAGUUAUAGUGUUUUACCCUCCACAUUUCAGGUAUAUUUUCUGGUACCUGUUUGAGACUUGUACUUUAGCUUUUUAAAAUAAAUAACAAUUAAUUUUUUUCCAGUUGGCAGGGCAAAGUGAUCACAUUCUUCACCUCCUAUAUAGUUUUAAACUCCUGUUGUAAAGUUAAAAGAAGGAAUAGAUUCUACAUAUUCAUGGUAUUUAAUUGCAACAAAUAGUUUAAUUACCUGGCUCACUCAUGUAUGACAAACCCCUAAAACCUCAUAGGUAAUUUGAUAGUACAUAUGAGAUGAAACACCUGCAUGUUGGUGCUUUGUUCCAUUUGCAUAACUCUCUUUAACAGGGAGGCAAUGGAAAAUCUGCAACAAUGAUUUAACAUGUCUUUAUUUGUUCACUACUGUCCUUCCAUCUCUUCCAUUAAUAUUUGUUUUGUUUUUCUCCUUCAUGCUACAGCAGUAAAGCUGAUGAUGCAACCCCAGGCAGUCGUUUCUCUGUAAUAGCUUUAGGCAUGACAUGUUUUAUGUGCAUUCCUAAGCAGCUACCACAGGCUUUGCUCCCAAGGUCUGUAUGUGUGAGAGCUCAUGAAAAUGAGGAGUUUUCUUAAACUUCAGGGGUGUAUGAAAUGUACAGAGUUAAAAAAGAAUGGAUCAAAGAAAAAAUGCAGCCAUAAUAGAAUUGAAGGCAGGACUGAGAGACUUUCUUACUAGAUUCAGCACAUUUAUUUGAUUCAGUUCUUUGGUGGUAGCUUUUGUGAAAGAGAAAGACAAACACAGGCAUAAGCAGUUCCUGCCUCCUGGGUUUUCCUCCUGCAGACGGAUAGGCCUUUGGGAGAUGAAGAGGGCAGAAGAUGUUUUUGAAGAUUGGGUUGCUGAGAGAUUUUUAUGAAAUAGCAAGUACUUCUGCCACUACUGAGGUUGAUAAUUAAAUCCCCUGUGAGAAGACUUGAAAUUAAGUGGUCAAGCUACAUUAGAGUGUCUGCUGUUGACUUACUGUAAAAAUAUCCUUGAGAAAAUGCUGAAUGCUUGCUGAGUCAGAUUACAGAUUGUUUCAGAAGGGCUACAGCAGCACCAGGUCAGCACCUCCCAGUGAGAUGUACAGAAUAGAUAUUCAGAGUUCACGAGAUACUCUCAUUAAACCUACUCUGCUGACAAAGUAUCACGGACAGAAUCUCAGUGUGGUUUAGACAAGCGCCACCACUGCUGUUUUUCAUCUGAAUGCUUACAUUUCAGCUAACCCCUGGGUUUCUAGCCUCUACUCAUGAAGUCUCUGGGCUGCUUUUAGAGAAUGUUGCAAAUAAGGUGUUAGAUACAAGACGUUCUAGAUACAAAGCCUACUGGGCAAGCAGAAGUUUGCUCUAGCUCCCCUCGGGAAUAACUUCAACCUGUACAUUCUGCUUUUUUAUCUAAGAAAAUUCUCUGUCCUCGUGUAAUCAGAGUUAACUAACUAAUUAUCCGUGUCAGUUACAAGUAUAUGUCUUACAUUUAGGAAAUUUUAAACAUUCAAAAUCAUCAGAGGAAACAAAAUACAAUGUUUUUUGUUGUUGUUGUUGUUGUUUUUCUGUGAUUACCACAUCAGUAGUCAUCAUUAUCUGGAAAGGCAGGGUUCCAGAUGUUGUGGAAGCAUUUUUGUGUAGGGAUACUUAGGUCAUUGCUAUAGGAACUGCAAGAGGAGGUGACUAUUUAAUGCAGGGAUAGGCAAUUAUGUAUCUAUUUACAUCAGGAGGACUAUGUAAGAGAACUUACCUGAAAUGUUGUUUUCUAUGUGUGUAUCAUGAAGAUAUUCAAGUUUUACAGGGGUCAUUUUUAAAGUGAAGUCUCUGUUUUAUUCAGGAAAAAACAUUUUGUUGAAUUAUCCAGAGAGUGCAAUUACUUCAAAGGAAGAUAAAGUUCUUUGUUACUGUCCUCAUUAAAUCAAACUCAGUACUUGAACCAUUCUCAGUACAUGAACCAUGUUUUUUUUUUUGUUUUUUUUUUAAUUAUUUGUUUGUUUGUUUCUCUUGAAAACACGUUUUAGAAGUCUUGAAUCAGUUUGCACAGUAAGAGGAUUUUAAGCCUUAGAAGAAAGGCAUAAAUAGUAGCCCUUCAAAUCCUGAUGCAAUGAAAUCCAUACAAUUAAAAGAACAUUCAGACUAAUGAUUAAAAUUUCCAUAUACUACAAAAUAAUUUCAUUACUUCAUUACUUUUUUGUUAAUAAUCAGUGGAUUUGCAUUAAUGGAAAAUCCCAUAGAUAUCCAUCAAAAUGAAACUUUCAAGGACAUAGCUCAUUAUCAAGCAAGAAGUUUUACAUCCUUAGAUUUGCAAUAUCACUUCUGCUCUACCCAACAUUGUGCAAAUACAGUUUAAUAUCAAACAAACAUCUCUUGAAGUGAAUUCUUUUUUUUUUUUUUUCCUUUUGAUUUGCCAGAAAAAUAAAGCAUUGCAAAGUAAGUCUUUGAGAUAAAACAAAAUAAUUAUUUGAGAAAACUGAUGCCAGGUAAGGCCAAAAGUAUCUUCAGGCUAGCAAUAUUGAUUAGUGUUCUUAAAUUUUGAUAGUUGAUAAUUCAACGUGAUUUUUUGCCAUAAGGAUUUGAGGGUUUCUGUACAAGUCCUUUGGUUUAACAUGACAAGCACAUUAUUAAUUAACAGAAAUUAAAAAGAGUGACUUAAACUAACCUCUAGCUGCAUAAUUUAUUAAUUUAUAGACAGUGAAAAUACUUCUGGGUGUAUGACAAGAAAUUAAUAACCAUGGAAAUAAUAUCACUGAACUUUCAUAUCAAGGAGACACAGUAAUAUAACUUUUGAAUUAAUGUGCACAUUUAAUAUCCUUACUCCAUGCAAUACUUAAGACAAAUCAGAGAGAAGCUGAUGCCAUUAGAAACCUAGAAGCAGAAGAGUACAACUCUUAAAUAAAAACCAUUACAUACACAGUUAAUCUGCAAAGGUCGUCUUUCCUUUUCUAAUUGUGGAAUAUGAGUAGUGGAAGGAAACCUAAUGUUAUCAUCUCUGGUUGAAUGCCUUGUGAUGAAAAAAACCCAACUUCUGUGAAUGGCUGAUGUUUAUACCUUAUGAGCUCCUACAUCUGUCAUAUUUUUUUAUGUAAUAGAGUAGGAAAUUAAUAUUUUACUAAACACAUGCUUAACUGAUAAUGAUGCUAAUAAUACAUUUUUGUUAUUUAGCAGGGGGGAAAUUACCAUCAUUUUUGUUGUGAUUUGCAUUCUCUGAUAUUUGAAUCUGUAACGCUUGAAUAUUCAAAUGAAUACUAGUGGUUCAUUUCUCCUAUUUAGAUUUGAAUAACUCCCUUUUGAGGUACUUUGUCCACCUCAGAUUCUAAUUUCUAAUUAAGAGGUAAUGAGAGGGAAAGUAUUUUAUUUGCUGUCCACAGAUGUUUUUUGAGACUGAAGUCUUUAGUUUCAUGGUCAGAGACUUUGCUUUUGAAGAAGAAAAAAGACUGAAAUUUCAAACUAAUUCCAAAUGAUAAGUAAAUUGCCGCUUGAGAAGGGAGGAAAAAUUUCUUAGAGUGCUUGUAAAAGCAAGUAUAUUGAAUACAAGGAAAUGCACUUGAAAAAAACUGAAACAGAUCAAGUGACUCCCUUCUGUGCUUUUUGAUAGAGAAAUUUAAUCACAAAAUAGGUAAUUAAAUAAUUAAAUGUUUAUAUUAUGUAAGACAAUUUUUCUGUUACCAGUUUUGGAAAUAUGUAUUACUUUGUGGGCUGUCUUUAAUUCUUUUUUCAGUUGUAAAGAAAUUAUAGUUUGAACUUCAACACAUCUUCAGUAAGUUUCAUGUUAGUUUUAGAUAGGUAAUCACAGAAGCAAUUAGGGAUGUUGUCCUGAGGCCCCUUUACUGCAGGUGCAACCAUCUGAUUGCUGUUUUGUAAUUACUGUAUAUUUCUAACCACCCGUAUGUUUCUGAUAGGUUACACAGUGUGCUUCAAGUAAAUGAAACCUCCUUUGAAGUUGCAAUAAAAACAUAGUCAUUUAUGUUAGUCUCAAAACUAUUCAUUGUUAUGAUGUUUGCUUUGUGGCACUCAAAGCUAACAGUGAAUUUGUCACACAAUUUGUUAAAUUCUCAGAAGAAAAAAAAAAAGAGAAAGUUAAAUAAUAGUGCUGAUUAAAACACUGAAAGUAGAAUUCCUUGAAAUAUGCAAAAAUCUUUAAAUGAUUACAGAGGCAAUGCUAGCUUUAGGAUUUUUGUUUUUGAAGUCUUUGAAGUCUGACUUUGCAGAACAGAUUGUGAAUCCCUGGCCCAUUACACACCUGCAGAGAUUUUGGUGUUUUAUUUCUCUUGGGUGAAACAGCAGAAGCCCAAACCAUGUUAAUCACUGUCAGAACCAGUUGUAUAAAAUGCCAAAAUGCAAUGAACCAAGAAUUUUAUAAUAAAUUUGACAAUACAGUUUAAAGUGUUGUUUUGUUAGGCUUCAACUUGUUGUAAUUUAUCACUUAAGAUUGUACUGGAGGGGAAAAAUAUCUGGGACCUCCAAGUGAUCCUUUCACUGGGAAGUAAUGGUCCUGUAUUUGUUUGCUGUUUGAAAGAUAAAGCAAGAAAAAAUGAAGUGCAUCUAGAAAAAUGUAUUUAAAAUUAAUAAAAUUGAAAUACACUAAAUUUUUCUGCAGAUAUCUACUUGGUAUGUAUAUUUUAUCUGAUAUGAAUUUUACACAUAAUUAUGGCAUUAGUCACAUCUUUUUAAAGAAACAGACAUAUAUUCUAUUAUCCUUCUACUAUUAGUCAGUUUCAUCACAUGACAGUGUUGGACAUGAGUAUUACAGGCAUGACACUACAAAAAAUUAUAAGACAAGCAGCUCUCAGCUAUGUUAACAAAAUCUGCUGCGCUGUUUAAUCUUAAUUGUUUCAGUAUUCAUACUGCUCUGUGUGUGAGUGAAUUACUGUGUCAUGUCAUUUCUGAAUGUAGUUUUUAAGCAAAUUAAAAUGUAAGUAAAAACAUAUUCAGAAAGGGUUUUUUAUUUUCUGGAAAAUAAAUUGUUCCAUUUUGGUUAUUUUCAACAAGGGAGUGACAGUGCUGUUAUAUAAUGAUUCAGUCAGUUCCACUCUGUUGCUGUAUAUGAGUACACAGUUCUUAUCUUGUGAAUUCCUAGGUUACUACAUCAGAUCUCUGAGGACAAUAGGAUCCUCUGGAACAGGUUUAACUGAUAACACAGAUAAACCAUGAGCCAUUCUAGUAGAAUUUAACUAGCAUAUGUUUACACAGAUAAUUAAUCUAAAACACAAUAGUACUAGUUUAUCCCAGUGGAACUACAAUUUAAUAAAUACAUAUGAAGUAUAUAAAUUAAACACUAUAAACACUUAAGUGAAUCUUUGAAAGAUUAAAUUUCUAAUUUGCUUCUUCCUCUGUCACUGCUUUUGUCUGUUGACUGCAGAUUUCAAAUAUUCUUCCUUUGUUCCCACAGUAAAGUUUCACUGCUUCCAACAUAGUGGCAGUGGAACUGUUGACCACAGGGAAUUUGCCCCUAUGUCUCUAUUUGUUGUUCCCUCCUGCAGUGACAAUGUCUUCCAUCACCUAGUUCUAUUGUGUUUGGUUUGAAUCCCUCUGAUGGCUUUUGUCAUAAUCCUGCUACCUGAGUGGGGAAGUCACUGAACUAGGCCAUUGGCAAUAGAAACAAAGGACCAUGACACCGUUUCAAAGGUCAUUGUAGCUCCUGCUUUGAAUUUGUUUCUGGCUUAUUUAUUUUGGUGAUUACUUCAGUUGCUUAUCCAAAUGGUAGCUCUAAUCAGGUUUUCAGAAAUAAAAAUGUUUUCUAAAAUUAUUUUCAGUUGGGAAUAUUAAAACCAUUAGAAGAAGUAUGUAAGUUUGAGGAAAGAGUACAUAUGAUCUCUUUGUCAGUGAAUUGGAAGGAAAUUACCCAAAAUGUGCUCUUGAAAGAUAAUGUCAGGUUGGAUGAUAUUAUUUUUUUUAAAGAUAGUCUUCCCAGUCACAAGUGCAAUGGCUUAUAUAAUUCUCUUGGCUCUUGAAGGAUGGUGUAAACUGCAAGGGCUGAUAAAAAGAGUUCUUGUAAUUAUUAAAUUCACUCCUGUUUGUCACGCAGGGCAUUUCCACACUGUGUCCUGAACACUGCUUUGAAAUGUAUAUAAAUGAUUUCUUGCAUCUUGCUAUGACUGUGAAGGAUAUGGUCCUUUGGAAAGGUGGUGAUAUCUAUCAUAAUGCCCAGUGGAUCUGUAAGAGUAAUGAAGUAGAAUCCAUCGCUCUUCAAAAACUCAGACAAAUCAUUCAUAUGGAGCCAUAGUAUUACUUAUGACAUUCAACAGAUUUUUUUGCACUAGAAGUAACUUACACUUUAUGUCUGAGACUUUUUACUGUGAGCAUUCCUGUGAUGUCCAAACUCAUAAAUUUAGAUAAAAAAGCAAUGUAGGUUGAACUUGAAGGGCAGAUGUGUGGACUCUCUUACUGUAUUGGGUAAUUAUUUCUUUAUAUCAGGAUUAUUGUCCAGUAAUGCUAUGUUUUUAUUUUGUCUUGUUUUUAUUUAAAACAAUGAUAAAAAAAACAUAUUUCUAAGAAGUUUUAUCCCCAUGAAAUGCUUAACUGUUAGGAUUUUGUUUUUCCUAAUUUAUUUUCUUGACAUUUGAAUUUUUCUAACUUCUAUGAUUCCUCAAGGGAGUGAAACAGAUUAUUCUAGAGAAAUAUUUGUAGAAAGUGCUUAAUUUAUCUAACUCAAAUCCUGGAGGAACCAGUCCCCCUUCACUAAGAGCUAGGAGAAUCCAGCAUACAUUAACCAUUGCUAACGAUUAGCUUCUUGUCUCAGAAACAUGACCACAUUUAACUGUCAGUCAGUGGCCCCCUUCAAUCUCAUCCAUUAUUGUGGCUUUUAAUAUCUUCUUUCGUUUAGAGACAGGUGCUUUCUAAACCUAUAAUACACAACCAAAUCUAUCUGAAUUUGUUCACAACAAGCAAAUAUUUGAUUAUUUAUUACAUUUUCACAUGCAAAAUCUUUAGUCAUUUUUCCUACAAUAGUGAGACCUACUCUUCAUUCAUAGUUAGACUAGUAUAGAUAGAAUGUAUACAUAUACAUUAUAUAUAUGUUGUGUAUAUAUAUACAUAUAUAUACAAGUAUAUGUGUAUAUAUAUGUAUAUGUAUAUAUAUACAAUAUAUACAUAGAAUGUAAGUACUUUCAGUGAAGCAACGACCUAACAGAGCAAUAGGUUAGGUAAAUCAUUUAUUACAGAAGCAUGUUAUUUGGUAUGGCUGUUUCUUUGUGCGAUUUUGUCUUAACACAAGAAAGACAUUCUAUCUCUGAUGAAUGAAGCAACACUGAAACAAGUUCUGAAGAUAGCGACUUCAGUCUGGUUCCCUGUUCACUUCUUUGUAUCUACACGUGUCUCCCAUUUUGUGUUUGGUUUGUUUUUCUUGUGUUGUAUGUGCUGUACCCCUACAAUAAGGUCUCUUUAUGUUUGUUUAUUUUCUGAUGAAUGAAUUCUAAGAGUCCUUGAAAGUCAAACAGCAGUCGUGUUUGAAAGUGUCUUGUCUGAAAUAUCCUUUGGUGACCCUGCUGUUCUGUUGCAGUUUGACUUUAAAUGAUCCCACAAAAGAAUUGGAUAUCUAUGUGAACAGCUGGCUGCCUUAACCAUCUUUUUCUGAACCUUUCUGUAUUAGUAUUUGUCACCUUGGAAAAAAUGAAAAACAACUGCAUGUUUAUGAAUUAUACAUAUAAUCUAGGAAGGGCACGUUAAAAAGUAUACAUGUGUUCUAGGAAGUAAGAGCUCCUUAGGCUCUAUGAGCAGUAAAGAGAAAGGGAGAACGGCCAUAGAAUAAUCUGGAGUUUCUGAUCUAGGCUCCUCCUCAAGAAUCUUCUUUUAUUUUCUAGAUGGGGCUCUUUGUGUAUUGGUUAUAGAAGGGGAACAUAGAGGAUCAUUUCUCCAGAAUAAUCUUUAAAUUGGCACGGUAUUGGGCUAUGGAACUCCUUGUUACUGGUUUUUGUAGAUGACCAAAAGUAUACAUAUACAUAAACAGCAACAGCUGGGUUAGGCAUGAAGAAAAUCAUUUAGGGCAAUCAGAUGGGAAAAUACAAAGUCUAGCACAGGGAAUCCUUGAAUGAUACUUUUCUGCAGGAUACCAGAAAAUUCUGAAAAAUCUUAAUACUUGCUUGUCCUGAUCCUGUGCUCCCUCCUCCUCAAAUAUCUUCUAUUUACUGAUGAUAGCUGGCUUUAUAACUUGAGCUAGUUGUUUCUAUGUUCUUAGAAAUUACGUUACUUACUUUUGUAGAAUAAUACCAGUAUCUUUUGGCUCCUGCAGGAUAUAUAUACAUAUAUAUCCUGCAGAAGCCAUAUAUACAUAUAUAUAAAUGUGUUUUAAAAAGUUUAUGGUCACUUUUUGGUGUUGACUUAAUUAAUCCGCUCUCAUAAUUUUUAUAUAAGUACAAAAAUCUCGAGGAUAGAUGGAAAUCAGCUUCCUGAAUGCAUGUUAUUAAUUCCUGCAUCACACUGAGUUAUACUGUAGCUAUUAUAUUAUUAUGUGGGUACUUCUUAAAAAGUUAACUAAAAUGGUUUCCAGAAAAGAAAAUAUUUUGUUUGUUUUUAAAGCUCUUACUUGGACUUGUGGUCUGAAAGAAAUAAGGACAGGUGAAAUAAAUGUGAAAUUGAUACAUUUAAUAUGUUUCGAGCAUAUUUUGUACAUGAGCCGGGUCUCAUAAUAAUCAAUUCCAGCUAUUUCUUGUCUUACACAUCUGUAGACUUUCUGUUACAAUUUUAAUUUCUCAUUCACACAUACAAUGUUGUAUGUGUUUUCUGGUGCAUAUGCCUGAAAUUUUGCAUCUAAGUAGCAGUCUGUAAUGUUUGUGGGACUGGGCAUGCUUUAUUUUCAAUGAUUAGUUUUAGACAUAACCAAUUCUUAGCACUAUCAAAAUUGACUUGUACUCCCUGCUUGCCAGAAACAAAACCAAAUUAUGAACAAAUAAUUAAAAAGUGUAUUCUCUUAAAAUAUAUUAAGCCUUUAAAUAUGAAAAGAUCACCUGUUUACAGUAUGAUAUGUAAAAAUAGAAUUGAUUUAAUUUAUUCUGAGUGAAGUAAUACAUAUUAAGAAGUCAUCCAACUGAAGAUCAAUUUAAAUAUAUCACCAAAUAUAUUUCAUUGACGAAUUCUGACUUUUUAGUAUGAUAUUAAAGUAAUUAUUAAAAUACCGUUUUUCAUUUUUACCACGUCUUGAAUGCUGUUAAUGCUCAAAUUUCUUCCAUGCACUUGAGUUUUAGCUUAUAUUUUUAAGAGUAUUGUUGAGCCAUGACAGAAAGGUUGUUUUGCCCUUCACAGGCCACUACCUCCUGAUAAUUUCAUUUUAUCUUCAGUGCUUGUGUACAAGAAAUAUCACACAAAUGUGGUGAUCCUUUGGUUAUUGUGUCUGAGUGUUUGAGCCCAGGCUGUUACUGCAGCAGAAGAGAGGGGAUGACCCCUGCACAGAGGACACCAUGAUGUGAGGCCCUCGGAUUCCUGGCCUUCCAAAAGACUGCACACAUGGCCUCACUGGUAUGCUUUGGAACCAGCCUGUGCAGUUUUUCGCUGGUAGUAAUGACAGAGUGGCUGGUCACUUUGAUACUAAUGCUGUUUUACUGAUUUCUCAAGAAAAUGUGUGACAUUGAAGUAAGUUGUCACCCACUGUUUGGAACACAGAAUGCCUAUUGAUUGCUGUUGAGAGAAAGGAAGGCUGCAACAACUUACCAAUUUACAUGUGGGCAGUUCGUGGAAGGGAAAAAAUGCAGAUAUAAACCCUGUGGGCUAGUUGUGUGUAAGCAAUAAGUUUGGGCUGUGUAUAGCAUUGUACAAGGGAGAGUAGAACUCAGACAUUCUCACUUUCUUUUGUUCCUCUUAAUCCCUCAACAAGCUAUUGCAUUAUAAAAGUGCUGUUGAUGUAGAUUAGUUGCAAGAGCUAAACAUACGUCACGAUACACACUGAGACACAUAUUCCUGACACUGUUUUUCAGUAUGUACGAUACAGAAAGUUUUGUAUGGUUCUCAAGGGAAAAAGUGGAAACUAUCAUUGUGGCUAUGUGAUCAAAUACAUGCCAUACUAGUCCUUCCAAUUAGAAAAAAUAAAUAUAAAAAUUUUGGGAAAGGAAAAAAACAGUAAAAUGCAGACUCAACAUAAACUCCACUCCACCCAUCAGGUUCUUUUUUUUUUUGUGUGUGUGUGUGUGUGUGUGUGUGUGUGUGUGUGUGUGAAAUGAAAGCUUCAAAACAUAAAUAGGUUAUAAAGUAGAUGAUAUACACAUCUUGCAACCUUGAACUAAACAUAGAAGGAGCAAAAAUCCCUAUUCUGUAAAUAUUAAAUGUUGAGUAGAUAAUAUAUUAAAGCUCUCAGUCAGGGAUUUUUUUUUUUAAUGUACUGUCUCCCUUACGCCCCCUUGACACGCUAUAAUAAUGAACAAGUUAUUUAGUUAAUGAAGAAAGCAUCCUGUAUUUAAAGAUCUACAUAUUAAUGUGACCUUCCUUUGUUCAUUGCUGUUAAUAUUUAUUGCCUUUUCUUGUUGAGAUUUUAUUUGGUGUUCUGUGACAAACAAGAGUAUGAUUAGUGAAGCCGUAAAGUUCUCAUGGUGGCUGCCUGUGUUCCCAAGAUAGCAGCAUUAGUGUCUGCAGAAGCAGUUAAUGCUGUUUAUCAUUAGUGACAGAGGCUGGGAAGGACCUUCUGUGGCUUUUAUCUUUCACCUUGCCAGCAGAAGUUGAUGAGCUUUGUGAUUUAAAUGCAUAGGUACUAUUGUAAUAUUUGUAUUCAUUUCACAUAGACAAGUGCACAGGUAAACGAAUCUUGUUGAUUGAGGUUAAUUAAAACCAUAUUACUGUAGAACUGGACUGCCUAUGAAUGAAUAUACUUGGAAAAAACAGCUACCAACAUUUUAUUUAUUUUGCUCUGUGAUUAAACAAACAUUUUCAGAAUGUGUGCAGCAAGACUACAUUAGUAUUCUAUAGCUGUUUUUCUACGUUUGUUUUUUUAAAUUGUAAUUAUACUUAAUUUUAGGGUUUGUUUAGGAAAUAUUGAAUUUAGAAUCUUGAAUCUCACAAGUACAUUAAAAAAAAAAAAAAAGAAUUUUCACUACUUGUUGCAAUGGACUAUACCUAGAAAAACACUCAAAAUAUCUCAUAGAAAUGUAUGCCUUAUGCAGCUUCAUAUUCUGGGCUUCUUCUACAUCUACACAUUUGUGUAUCUUGUAUCUACUUCAGUUCCAUAAGAAAUUAUUAGAUAUUCACCUUGCCCAGUAUUUAACUGCUUACAUGAUCAUAUCUGGAAGAUUGAUCAUAAACACUGUAUUGCCAAAAGCACAUUGUGCAGUUGUACUUAGGGAAAAGUCUGGAAUUUUUUGAGCCUUGUAUUUUACUUCUAAGACUCCAUUUCCACAUAAAACAAGAUGUGUAUCUGCAUUUCAGAAAAAGGAACAUUUAAAAAAAAAAUAAUUGUCACUGGGAAUGAAAAGGAUAGCACAUAUGCAUAUAUACUAAAGCAGACCUUUUUGAAAAACACUUCAGAGUGAAGUCCAAACGAAACAGUCACUCAGGACUAUAGUGCAAAAGAAGUCCAACUGCUAACUUGCCUGUGGUUGUUAGACUGGGAGAAAAGGAGAUUUUAUUGGAUUCUACCACUGUAGUAACAUCAAAAGGGGAAAAAUGAUGUAUCUGAAACCACAGGAAAUGUUCCAAACCGAACUCCUUAUCAAAAGCUAAGAGCUAGAGCCACAAAACCUUUCUGAACUGAAUCUUAAGCAGAGGGAAUACACCUGUGACAUCAGAAUUUAAACACUGAUGUGGGUACUAACUAUGUGAGCAACUUCUGUCAGUGCCCAGGUGUGAGAUAAAUUGCCCAGGUAUGGGAUCUACUUUAUACAAAUUGUAUUUUUCUGACAAUAGUUAUCUCAUUGUUUAAUUGAUUUUUUUUAUUUAUUUAUUUUUAAGUUUUGGUGAUUUACAAGCAUUUAUGGUUUGGUGAUUAUAAUAAUUUAAUGUAAUACUCUUUUUCCCAAUUAUUUUAAACUCGUUACAGAUGUGCUAUUUCACCUUAUAAUUAAUGCACAGUUAUCUGUAAGAUUUUGAUCUCCAGUUAGCUCUGGCUACUUUAGCAAGGGAAAAAGGAAUAGAACAAAUUCAUGACUGAAAGAAUUUCUCAUGUAUUGAAGCGGCAGCUUUGUGACAGUGAAGGUAAAUGGCAGUGUUUCUUUCCAAUUUAUUACGGUAUCUCCUACGGUGGUGGGCAAAAGAAAGACUUGAAUUUGUUUCUUAAAAUUGAAAAGUUUAGGGUCUGUAUCUUAAUUUCCUUUACUUUUGUUAAGUUCUUCUGUUUAGAUUAGUUCUAUUAAAUAUUCUCUGAUUUAUUUUUUUUUUAAUCUUAAUUUGGUUGAAGAGCAAACUUCAAAAGCAACAUAAAACAGUAUUACAAGAGAGGUAAUGGAUAAAAUAUACGUACAAAUAUGCUUGCUUAUAUGAUAUAUUAG